AACACCUCAAAGCUUUUGAUUUUUUCUAAAAGUUUUGGACUUGAGCAAUCCCAACACCGGUCUUUUACAGAUCGGCGGCGGGUUGCUUGAAAUGCAGGUGCAGCUGGACAUUCUCCUGAGCUAAAAGCAUAUUUAUUUAGUCCCGUCAAACGGAUUAUUACUUUUGCUGCAGCUAAUAUAAAGGGAGUUUGACCGUAUUGGCUGACUGAUGCAGGAUUUCACAAGGGUCGGCAACGAUUCUUGUAAA
rnacentral:misc_RNA from 1 species